AGCUGCAGAGUUGGUGAGGACGGGUCUCUCUUUGGGGAAGAAGUUGGAGGUCUCCUGAAAGAGCUGGAUGGAGAUCCAGUCCACACUGUCCCUGCCUGGGCCAUUACAAAAGCCCUCCAGUUUCCCAGAGAGGUGCCAGAGGCCACUAGGUGUGAACCAGGGAUGCUGUCAGUCAGCAGGGACAUUUUCUGCCCCGGAAAAUGUCUCUGUGCUUCCCCUGUACCGCAUCUCCAGCUGCCUCUGCGCAUUGCCCUGUCAGGAUUAAAAUAGCUCUGGCUUGAUGACUUCACUAGUUCUCACAAUCGGGCCAAUUGGCAGGAGGCAAACGCGGCUGCUCCUGAGGGGAGGAUUUCUUUUUUGUUGUUUGUUUCUUUCCAUAUUACUCCCAAUAUGAAUACAUGGUUUCAUUUUGACUCUGAAAAACAUUUCCUUUCUGAGGUUCAAUUCAGCACAAAACUUCAUACAAAUCUCCUCAAAUGCCUUUAAAAGGCUCAAGCUAAACGAGGUCACUGGAAGGCAACACGGAGCAUCCAGACUGUAUUAUAAUCUCUGAGGUGAAACUUCAAGGACAUCAAAACUACUGGGCUCUCGCUGAGACUAGAGCUUGCCAAUAGGAUACAUUGCUGUCCUUCAAGCUCUGGAGAUCUGUCUGUGCUGGAUGUCCUGCUCCCUGCCACCUGAGGGAUAAAGAUGUGAUGAACCACGCCCAUCCUUUUCUGUUGGUGCUGGAAACCCAAACCGCAUGGAACACGCUUGCAAGGCAAACACUUCACUGACAGCCAUUCCUUCAGCCCCUGCAGUCUUCCUAGACUGACCUAUUGUGAUGCUUGGUUUUCAUUAUCAAUUAAACUAGAUUUCGAAUC